rnacentral:lncRNA from 1 species
AAUGAUGAGUCAAAAUACAAAUAGGUAAAAUUUAAAUACACUCAUGUCCUCCUAGAAGAGCUUUAUUGCUGACAAUCUAAGAAUUUUGAUGCAGCGAUGACAAUAUCCCAAAGUGAUUUGAUAAAUUCACAACACUUUUUGUUAUUUCCACAACCAAAGUGUCGUUGUAAAUGUAUAGCGACGGUGAAAACCGUCGCUAUAGGAUCUAUAACGACACUUUUGUUUUGGAAAUAAC